CCUACGGGAGGCAGCAGUGGGGAAUAUUGGGCAAUGGGCGAAAGCCUGACCCAGCAACGCCGCGUGAAGGAAGGAGGCUUUCGGGUUGUAAACUUCUUUUGACAGGGAAGAGCAGAAGACGGUACCUGUCGAAUAAGCCACGGCUAACUACGUGCCAGCAGCCGCGGUAAUACGUAGGUGGCAAGCGUUGUCCGGAUUUACUGGGUGUAAAGGGCGUGUAGCCGGGCUGACAAGUCAGAUGUGAAAUCCGGGGGCUCAACCCCCGAACUGCGUUUGGAACUGUUGGUCUUGAGUAUCGGAGAGGCAGGUGGAAUUCCUGGUGUAGCGGUGGAAUGCGUAGAGAUUAGGAGGAACACCAGUGGCGAAGGCGGGCUGCUGGGCGACAACUGACGGUGAGGCGCGAAAGCGUGGGGAGCGAACAGGAUUAGAUACCCGGGUAGUC
rnacentral:rRNA from 1 species